UUGAAUUGAAGGUGGAGUAUGGUUUGACAUAAGUGUGGGGUUUCAACUGCUAAAGUAUAUGUAUUAAAGUGCUUAGGGAGGUGUAGUCACUCUUAUAUCUAAUGUAUCCUACCCUUCCCACAACCUAAAUUACAACAAGUUAAAAGUUCUACUUGAUCCUUGACUGAAUGAACUCAAUUAGUAGAGUAGUAUACUACGAGCAAGCCUAUGAUGCAUCUUUUAUGGCAAAUGAAUAUCUUUUCUAAGAGUGAGUGAAUUUUGUCUGUCUGGGAGUUCCUAGUUGUUCUUGAAUUAUAUUGAUUAUGGAAAUAUUCUCUUUGUUGUGGGAGGGAACUUGAUUCAUGAAGGAAAGGUAAUUCUUGACCUCUGUGUUAGAGCAAGUGAGUAACUUAUGAAUAAUGCAUGGUGCUUGUGAGUUAAUUCUUGAGGUAAAGAUGUUACACUUCUGUGUUUAGACUAUUUGAAAUAUUUUUUGUGUGAUGAGUUAGGAAAGUCACUUAGUGAGGUUGUGUCCAUGCAAAGUGUGGUUUGAUUGCUCGAGGACGAGCAAUGAUUUAAGUAUGGGGUAUUGAUAGUAGGCUAUAACUAUGUAUUUUAAUCACUAUUUGCAUUUUAAAUUGGUUGCACUUUACUGAUGCUUGAGCGUUAAAUGGUAGAAUAUUGCCCUGACUGAAUAUUUUAUACUUUGCAGGAGCAAUUCAGAACUACAAUGAGGUUAGUGAGUGUUUUGAGCUAAUAUGGAGUGUUGAAGGCCAAGUAAAACCUUAUGGAGUAAAUUGGAAGUUCGUUCGAGAAUCAAAGGAGGUUAGCGCACUUAAAAGGAAGAACGAAAAAGAGUAUAGAAAAUUUCCCAGGUGUGUGGCCACGCACUGACCGUGCACUGGGCCGCGCACUCGGCCGCGCAAGUUAGCAGAAACUGGCCAAAGUGCACUGUCACCUGCCUAGGUGCGCGGCCGCGCACGUCCUUCCGUGAAAAAGUAUUCCAAGGCUAAAAUUAUAAUUUCAGAAGCAACUUUCCUUGACCUAUAUGAAGCCUAGCUCACCCAAAAGAGGGCAUCUUGGUUUUUAAGAGAUUUUGAAAGCAAGAAUAGGCAAGGAGCAAGACGGAAUAUUCGGA
rnacentral:lncRNA from 1 species